rnacentral:lncRNA from 1 species
UGGAAAACGUCCAAGUUAUAUAUGAAGAAAAAAAUUGAAACUAUUCAAAGUUUGGUGUUACAAGUAAUCUAACGGAGGACACGGCAAUAGUGUGGCUUCUGGAAUCAAAUUCUAUCCAAAGUAGGGACCCAUAGUGACGAUGAAGUUCUCCAGCCUAGCCUUGAACCUGUUGCAGGCGCACUCAACCUGGUCCCUGACCAACUUGUUGUAAAUCAAGAUGAUGCGCUUUAAAUCGGCCAACGUGUUGCACUAGGUUCGGUUAGUGUCCCCUUUAACUGCGUCUACAUGUAGAAUUCACAGGGAUUGUAGUCAGGAAAUUUCCCUGAUGGUCUUCACGUGUUCCUCACCGUGCCGACACCCUUCAUAAUGUCACAGUCUUUAAAACUGCCACAAAUCAACCGCGGUUAUUCUUUUCCACUGUUUGGACAGGUUAAAGUUGUUGGAUUCCAUUGUUGUCAGUAUCAUGUGUUCCGUUCAUAAUUGGAUCCAAAUCUAUUGAAAAAUUACAAAACAUGAUUGCAAGGUCCAAUUUUGAAAAUAUUAAACUCGACACAAAUAUUAUCUACGCUGCUCUUAACGAAUGUAGUUUUUAAAAAAUCUGUUUUAUGAUUUUUUUAUUGUUUUUAGUCUUUGAUUAGAUGAUUAUUUCACUAAUUUAUCAAAUCUUGUUUUUUGAUCAUGGUUAUUAGAUGAGGUAUUAUAUCACUCUAUCGCCUACCUUUUUUCUUUUUUGUUAUGUUUUAUUUAUAAAAUGUAUUGUCAACUUUAUUAUUUUACGUUUAUAAUACUUGGACGGUGUAGUAAUAAUGAAUAACUACAAAUAAAUCAAAUAAUAAUAAUACAAAUGAAAUAAACCUA